rnacentral:lncRNA from 1 species
AAAUAUUAACUAUUUUUUACAUGAAUUUUUGACAAGCAAAAAGACAAGAAAAAUAAUGCUUCAAAACUGAAGAAAUUAAAGGAGCCAAAACAGGGGGAUAAUUAUUUUAAGAAAAACAAAAAAUAAUGAAGAAAGAAUAAAAGGAAGCGAUAACAUUAAAUAGCUCAUUAUUCUACUAAUCUUCCAUUGUCGAGAUCAUCUAGGCAAAGCAUAAUACUACAACAACUACUUCCCCGGCAUCCUUCCCUCCAAGAACUUCUCACCUUGCUCUUGGGAGACUCGAAUUCAUAACCUCUCCGUUGGAAGUGAGGGUUGAUUACCAUCAGAGCAACCCCUCUUGUCCUAGUCCAAGCAUAAUAAUAAAGCAAAAAACUUACUUCUGGAAGACGUGAAAUGCAUUUGCCAAGGAUGGCCGCAAUAGAUUUUUUUUUUUUCUAGGGAAAAAGGUACUUUUAACAUAACAAGAAAAUGUGCCUCAGUGAUUAGAAAGUUGGUUAUGCACUUUUACAGAGUGAAAAAUGUAAACAGAUUAUGCAAAAUUGUAGUGGAAGAAGAAGCAAAGAUGAAAUGGAAAAUGCUUUUGAAGGAGUAAUAAUUUACUGUCUGCACUAAUUAUAGGUAGAUGAGCAAUUCUCCAUCUUCAACCACUUUAAUGUAAUAAUAAAGAGCAAUUGUUUUGUGGAAGAUCAGUUAUUUUAUAGGGACAAAGUUGUAACUUAGAUUUUAAAGGAUAUUAUCGUAAUUCAACUUUAAAGGUGCAAAACUCAACUCCUCAAACAAAUAGCUUGCACUAAGCUAUUGCCAAAACAAAAUUUCAGUUAGUCAUGUUCCAAUCUUGUGGCUCCAUGAAGUGCACAAUUUUUGUAUGGCUUUAAGAAUAGAGUAACUUUUGGCUCAUUAGUGUUCCCAUAACUCAACGUCGUAGCUUGGUAACCUGUGUUUUUAAGAUUUUAUAGAAUGAAAAACUAUUAAAGAAAAUAAAUGACUAAAAUUACUUAAGCAAUAAAACGAAGCUCUCUGCUAAUGAUAUGCAAGUUAGCACUAUAUUAUUCAGUACAUGUUGCUGAUGUCGAUCCUAACAUAUAGAGUAACAAUUAUCAUAUAAUUAAUGCAAGUAUAUCAAUCUAUCCACAUAUAGAGAUAACCAGUGAUCGUGAGUACAUGAAGUUUGAAUAUGCAAAAAAAUUAUCAUAAUGGCAGUGGAAUGCAUACACCGAGCAAGGAUCUAACUAUCACAAUAUGCCAGAAGAGGAAGGGCUGAAGCUCAUAACAAUCAACGGUAUAUGAGAAAUGCAUAAGUGAAACCAAUGCCUUUAAGAUCUAGAUUUCCACUCCAUGAGUAUGUCUUCUGUGCAAGCAUGAGUGUGAACAUAUAUCGCUCCAUUUUUAUUUAUUUUUAACACAGUAAAAUAAUUUAUUGAUGAUUAGUUACCUCUAAGGAGGUACAUCAACAACAACAACCACCCAGUAUAAUCCCACUUAGUGGGAUCUGGGGAGGGUAGUAUGUACGCAGAUCUUACCCCUACCCUUGGGUAGAGAGGCUGUUUCCAAAUAGACCCCGCCAUCCUUCCCUCCAAGAAUUUCCCACCUUGCUCUUGGGGAGACUCGAACUCACAGAGCAACCCCUCAAAUUACAACAUCCUCAAUUUGAAAUCAAUGCAAAAAUUACAAAAUCCCAACCAAUCCUAUAGCGCUGACCACAAAGCACAAGGAUAAAGUUAGUCAGUAAAUUUGCCCUCUGAAGGCAAAUUUUUAAUUGAGUCAAGCUAGUAUAUCAAAUAUUAGGAAGAUUUAUUCUCUAUUCAUAGUAGAACUAACAAAGCAAUCAUAAAAUUACAAUGCGCAACAGAGAUAUAACCAGCCUUUCAUAUAAAUAGCCAUGUAAAACUUUCGAAAAAGGAUAUGGCAAUGCCAAAACCUGUAGCUGGAAAUAGGGGUGUUCAUCGGGCGGAUUGGGCGGCUUUUACUCUUAACGGUUUGGCUUAACGGUUAUCAACUUUUAAAUGUAUUAAUC